CCGCCAAAGGAUUACUACAUUGUUGCAUCCACUCGUUUUACCAAGCAAGUCCUCACUGCAACUGCAGUGUUACGCUACACAAACUCUAAGGCCCCAGCCUCUGGACCCCUGCCUGCUCCUCCUACUGGCCAAUUUCACUGGUCUAUGAGGCAUGUUAGAACUUACAGGUGGAAUCUGACUGCAAGUGCAGCCAGGCCCAAUCCUCAGGGCUCAUUUCACUACGGAAAGAUAAUUCCUAAAAAGACAAUUGUCUUGGCCAAUUCAGCACCUUUAAUAAAUGGAAAGA
rnacentral:misc_RNA from 1 species